rnacentral:tRNA from 1 species
GUUUCCGUAGUGUAGUGGUUAUCACGUUUGUCUAGCACGCAAUAGGUCACCAGUUCGAAACUGGGUGGAAACA